rnacentral:piRNA from 1 species
UGGGUUNCUAGGUACCUGUCCACAAGAUCUA